AAUAACGCUCAAAAUGGUCACAAUCUAAAAUUAGCAAAAAGAUCAAAACUUUAGUAAUACUAUUGUCACUUUGAACAUCUUUAACUCGAAAACUUAAACCCCAAAACUUAGACAUCAUGAUUUUCACCUAACGUCGAUGCAAUCACAUGAUUCACAUGAAUAGAUACAUAAAUGCGAAAGCAACUUUGAACAUAGUGACAACCAUAGAGAACUUAGCAGUCAAAUAAAGGUCAAAAUUAAAACUUUCUGAUUCAAAACUAAGCCCAAUUGCGAGAUCUAGGCGAAUCCUAAAAUCCACAUCCCUACUGUGAAAAUGACCAGCAAGGAUCAAAAUCAAAAACAAGAAACCAUCAACAGAACAUGAGUUCUUACAAGACAUAAUGAAUCAAA
rnacentral:lncRNA from 1 species